rnacentral:rRNA from 1 species
UACAGAGAGUGCAAGCGUUAAUCGGAAUUACUGGGCGUAAAGCGCACGUAGGUGGAUAUUUAAGUCGAAUGUGAAACCCCCGGGCUUAACCUGGGACCUGCAUCCGAUACUGGAUAUCUUGAGUAUGGUAGAGGGAAGUGGAAUUUUCGGUGUAGCGGUGAAAUGCGUAGAUAUCGGAAAGAACACCAGUGGCGAAGGCGGCUUCCUGGACCAAUACUGACACUGAGGUGCGAAAGCGUGGGGAGCAAACAGG